rnacentral:rRNA from 1 species
AGUGAACGCUGGCGGUAGGCCUAACACAUGCAAGUCGAACGGCAGCACAGUAAGAGCUUGCUCUUACGGGUGGCGAGUGGCGGACGGGUGAGGAAUACAUCGGAAUCUACUUUUUCGUGGGGGAUAACGUAGGGAAACUUACGCUAAUACCGCAUACGACCUACGGUUGAAAGAAGGGAAUCUUCGGACCUUGCGCGAUUGAAUGAGCCGAUGUCGGAUUAGCUAGUUGGCGGGGUAAAGGCCCACAAAGGCGACGAUCCGUAGCUGGUCUGAGAGGAUGAUCAGCCACACUGGAACUGAGACACGGUCCAGACUCCUACGGGAGGCAGCAGUGGGGAAUAUUGGACAAUGGGCGCAAGCCUGAUCCAGCCAUACCGCGUGGGUGAAGAAGGCCUUCGGGUUGUAAAGCCCUUUUGUUGGGAAAGAAAAGCAGCAGGUUAAUACCCCGCUGUUCUGACGGUACCCAAAGAAUAAGCACCGGCUAACUUCGUG